GGGGGCGACUUGGCUUCGACGCGGGUUGCAAAGCAGCGUUGUGCAUGCCGAGGUUCAGUUACCUCGUAAAUCCGCUGAAAACUUACAAACGCCAACGACGAGCGUUUCGCUCUCGCCGCCUAAACCGGCGAGCCUUGCACCGACUUGCUGACGGGUCGGGUCGGAUUUUCGACAGCAAGGUCAGAACCAUCAGCUAAGGUUUGCGCUUGCCGCGCGCGCAAACACGAAAAUCGAGCGGAUCGUCCAAAAUGAGCCUGUCUAUCCGGCGCACGCGGAUUAAAUCCAAAUGGAUGGACUAAGCAUGUAGAUCGCGUUGCAGAGGGCUUGCGGACGCGGGUUCGAUUCCCGCCGCCUCCAACA
rnacentral:tmRNA from 1 species